rnacentral:rRNA from 1 species
UACGUAGGGUGCAAGCGUUAAUCGGAAUUACUGGGCGUAAAGCGCGCGUAGGCGGACCUGCAAGUCGGGGGUGAAAGCCCGAGGCUCAACCUCGGAACUGCCUUUGAUACUGCAAGUCUCGAGUCCGAUAGAGGUGGGUGGAAUUCCUAGUGUAGAGGUGAAAUUCGUAGAUAUUAGGAAGAACACCGGUGGCGAAGGCGGCAAUCCUGGACCGGUAUUGACGCUGAGGCGCGAAAGCCAGGGGAGCAAAGCGGG